ACCUUUUCUAAAAUCAGUGAGUAGUACGCGGAGGUCCCAUUUUGUUGUUGGUCUAUAUAUACCCUGCUCCCCCUUUCCCAUCUCUCAUCGCCCUCUCAGGAGGAAAAAGCAGAUACUCAACCCAGCCUUGUUCGUGACCUUCAAUCAGAAUUCUCAUUUGCAACCCUUCGAUUUAUCUUCUGCAACUUCUGAUUUCUUCUUUGUAUCUCUAGCUGGUUUGAACUUCUGCCUUUUCUCUCUUCAAAUCACAUUUCUCUGGACCUUUAACCCUUCUAUAGCAUACAUUCAUCUCCUUAUUCCUUUCCUUCUUCUUCCUCUUUCCGGAUAGAAACUGUUUCUUUCUUUCUUUCCAUUUUUCUUUUUCCUUUGCUCCAAUGGCGACCAAUUCCUCCACAUCCAUGAAGAAAGGCAACACGAAUCUCCAUCCAAAAAGAGGGCAGAUCAAAGUUCAAAUUUUUGAGAGCUUCAAAGAGACACUUGUCUCCACAGCUUCAAAGGCAGGAGAAGCACUGGGCAUCCGCAGCAGCAAGGGGGGCGACAGCGGUGGAAGCUCUGCCUCCACAAGUCCUCCGCCAAGUGGCUACAACUCCGACUGGAAUUCCAGUAUCUCUUAAUAGAAUUCCAAUUUGGAAAUCAUCAAACUAUCAUCACUGCCUCCUCAAUUCACUGAAUUGAGCUUUUUCUAACGUCGGAGAAACAAAAUCUAUGACAUUCUGCCAUUUUAGACCCAGAUCAAAGCUUCUGCUUUACUUCCAAACAUAUCUGUCUAGGUUUGAAUUCCUGCAUAACCCAUGUUUUAGAGAGUCAGGACAGGAGACCAUAGCCCGUCUUUGUUUAUGUUUCAAGGGCAGGUCAGUGUCUUUAUAGUUUAUAUUCCAUCUGUGUUCUAAAAUUUCCAGCUUUAUAGUUUAUAUUUGUGGGCUUUGUAUAUAUCUUCUGUUUCUAUCAAUGAAUAUGAAGCUGUUAUUGUCA